rnacentral:rRNA from 1 species
GUUAUGUGUUCAAACUUGUGUAAGCCAGGUUGGUUUCUAUCCUUAUUAGAGGAACCUGUUUCUUAAUUGAUAAUCCACGAUUAAUUUUACUUAUUUUAUUUUAAUUCAUAUAUCGCUGUCAUGAAUAUAUUUAAAAAUUAAUUUUCUUUAUUUAUUGUUAUAAUUUAUGUUAAGUCAAGAUGUGGUUUAUAAAUAAGUGUAUAAUGGGUUACAUUAAAUUUUAUUUAUGGAUUUUAAAUGAAAAUUAAAAUGAAAUUGAAUUUAAUAUAAAAUUUUUUUAUUUAAUUAAUAUGAAAAAAGAUCUAAAAUAUGUACAUAUUGCCCGUCAUUCUUAUUAAAAAUAAGACAAGUCGUAACAAAGUAAAUGUACUGGAAAGUGUAUUUAGAAAGAUAUUUUAUAUAAA